rnacentral:rRNA from 1 species
UACGUAGGGUGCAAGCGUUAUCCGGAAUUAUUGGGCGUAAAGAGCUCGUAGGCGGUUUGUCGUGUCUGCUGUGAAAACUGGAGGCUCAACCUCCAGCCUGCAGUGGGUACGGCAAACUAGAGUGGCGGUAGGGGAGAUUGGAAUUCCUGGUGUAGCGGUGGAAAUGCGCAGAUAUCAGGAGGAACACCGAUGGCGAAGGCAGAUCUCUGGGCCGAUACUGACGUGAGGAGCGAAAGCGUGGGGAGCAAACAGG